rnacentral:misc_RNA from 1 species
CCAGGGUUUUUAUUUUGUACUUCAAACCUUAAAUUUAUUUUUUAUGUUUUUUAAAUAUUCAUGUUUUUGAAUAUUUAAUUCAAAUAAUGUAAAAAAUAAAAUAGAUAUUGACAUGGAUUGAACAAAGAUAUAUAUUAUUUUAUGUUGUAUAAACAAAUUGGCAAAAUAGAGAUGGAAGAUAAAAAUAUGG